ACAACCCAGUUUUUUUUAAAAAAAUGAAUUUAACUCUCUUCAGUUAAACUGGAGAUUGCUUUAUGGCUCCCUGUAAUCUUCAUCACUUGUUCACUAACAUGUCCAUUUUUUCCUUCGCCUGUUUUUUAAAAAGUGGGCAGGUGACACUGUGCAUGGCACAAACUGCUUCUGAAAUUGGGCUGCUGCAUUUACUACUACACUGAGGCAAUACACUUAAAAGAUGCCUUUUCUUUCCAUAAUAAAAGGCUGCAGUGUGGAGCAUAACGCUACAGACUCUUCCAUGGCUGCACAUGAGAGAAGCUAAAGCAAUGAAAGAUAAUCUGUAUUGCAUAGAUAAGGUUGAAGUUCACUCCCCAGUUAAAAGGAUCUCAGGGUUGCCAAAAACAUUAAAAAAUUUCUACACGGGACUACACAUUAAUAUACUGUAUUUUACUGUAGGUACACUCAAGCAGCAUGGUGUUCAUCCAGCAAAAUAGACGUAUCUCAUUGCAUCAGUUGACUGAUACUUUGCCUGUUAAUUCUUACAUUGAAGGUAGGGAUUUUUUUGUACUCUGCCUGAGACUCUGGAAACCACCUAUCAGCAGAGAGUUCUAGGCUGUACGGGGUUGACCGCGGCAAAUUUGUGGUUGGAUCUGCCAACAUAUUCCACUAAACACCAAGCAGAAGUGGUCGUGAAUUAGACUGUUGCACUGGUGGUGGUGUAAGCGUUUAACCUUUCCUCUCUGCGACCCUGGGUGAACUAAAAGCAGAGUGACCAGUUUUUAAUAAACUAGUCCUAAGGUAAGGUAAAGGUAAAGAACCCCUG